AUGGUAGCCUACAAUGUAGCUGUACACCCUGUUUCCUCAUGUCCAAAUUUCUUAGAUGGCCACAAUCAAAUUGUUUGUCCUCUUGGCAUGUACACUUAUAAGGAAAAACAAAGUAUCAUGCCUAUUUUGCGUGCUUACCCUGAAGAGCAGUGCAUGUUGAUCUACAAAAUGCUCAGAUAUGGAAGGAUGUUACAUAGGUUGCUUAGAAAGAUGAAGGGAUUAAUUUUGUUAUUCCUUCAUCUUCCUCACAGCUAUAAACAACAGCUCUUUCUGCCCGGGAAUGGACUCAUAAGGCCCAGUUGGGAGAAUGACAGCUCUGCCCUGCUGUGGGGAGCUCCUCUGAGGCCCGGUCCGAAGCACCGGUCUGGUAGACACGAGGUACCAACGCUUCCUGCUCCUGAAAUACAAACAAGUUUAUAUGCUCACAGCGAACACAUGUCUUCAUUUGGCGGCCCGGCUACCCCAACAAGAUCAUGCAGCUUGUGGAAACUCGGAGAGUAA
rnacentral:lncRNA from 1 species